UACAGAGGGGCGAGCGUUAUUCGGAAUUAUUGGGCGUAAAGGGCGCGUAGGCGGCCUUUCAAGUGACGGGUGAAAUCCCUCGGCUUAACCGAGGAACUGCCUGUCAGACUGGAAGGCUUGAGACCGGGAGAGGUGAGUGGAAUUCCCAGUGUAGCGGUGAAAUGCGUAGAUAUCGGAAGGAACACCUGUGGCGAAAGCGGCUCACUGGACCAUAACUGACGCUGAGGCACGAAAGCUAGGGGAGCAAACAGG
rnacentral:rRNA from 1 species